rnacentral:rRNA from 1 species
GGUUCCAGCAUAGUCUGAUGGUAAUGGGUUAUUUAUUUUUUUUUGUGUGUGAAAUUUAAGUGAAGUGAUUUUUGUUUUAUUAAUUAUAAUGAAUAAAUUUAUUUUUAUAAUAGGUUAUUAGUACUGUGGGGGAAACUUUGUUUUAUAGUUAAAGAAGACUUUUUUUGUUGUACCUUGGGUAUCAGGGUUGGUUUAUUAAUUUCUAAUUAUUUAGGUUUCUCGAGUUUAGAAGAGUUGCAGGGCUAUAAUUUUUAUUGUUGAAUAAAUAUUAUAAAUAGUCUUAUAAUGCUGAAGUGAAACGUUAUUCGAUUCUAUUUAUAUCUAGUUUCUUAAGAAAUAAAUUUAAUUUAAUUUUUAUUUAGUAAAUUUUUAUUGUUUAAUUUAAUACUGAUAAAAUUUUAAGGUGAAAGGGAUGAGCUUUUUAUCUUAUUUAUAAAACAAGGGUUUUAUUUAUAGAAGUAGGAUUGAUAGUUUUUAUCUUUAAUAGUGUGUUGCUACUAACUAGGGUUAGUUAAUAUUUUUAUUUGUUUAUGUUUUUUAUUAAGGAGAGGGCUUAGAUUUUUUUUGUUUCGUUAUAGUGAUUAAAUUAGUAAAGUAUUUAUAUUUUUGUUAUUGUUAUAAGUGAAAGACAAAAAUAAGGAAUUCGGCAAAUAUAGUUUUCUACCUGUUUAUUAAAAACAUGGCUUUUUGUAUGUAUUAUAAGGUCUGGCCUGCCCAAUGAGGUUUGUUUAAUGGCUGCGGUAUUUUGACCGUACAAAGGUAGCAUAAUCAUUAGUUUUUUAAUUGAAAGCUUGUAUGAAGGGUUGGAUGAGAAAAGAGCUGUCUCUAUUUUGACUUUUUUGAACUUUAUUUUUGAGUAAAAAAGCUUAAAUUUUUAAUGAAGACGAGAAGACCCUAUAGAGUUUUAGGAUUUAUUGAUAUUGGUAUAAUAGUAUUUAUUUUCUUUUAUUUUAUAUCUUUUGAUUGGGGUGAUUAAAAAAUUUUUUAAACUUUUUGUUUAUUUUUACAUACAUAUAUGAUUAUAGGAUCCUUGGUUUGGAUUAUAAGAAUAAAUUACCUUAGGGAUAACAGCGUUAUUUUUUUUGAGAGUUCUUAUCGAAAAAAAAGUUUGCGACCUCGAUGUUGGAUUAUAAUUUUACUCUGGUGUAGAGGCUAGAGCUUUAGGUCUGUUCGACCUUUAAAAUUUUACAUGAUCUGAGUUUAAACCGGUGUGAGCCAGGUUGGUUUCUAUCUCUUUAAAGGUUUGAUGCUUUAGUACGAAAGGACCGAGUAUUAGUUUUAUAAAUGGUUAUUGAAUAAUAGUAGUUAUUUUGGCAGAAAAGUGUGAUAGAUUUAGGAUCUUUUUAUGUAGACAAUUUAGCUACAAAUAA